UACGUAGGGGGCAAGCGUUGUCCGGAAUCAUUGGGCGUAAAGCGCGCGUAGGCGGCCCGGUAAGUCCGCUGUAAAAGUCCAGGGCUCAACCCUGGAAAGCCGGUGGAUACUGUCGGGCUCGAGUCCGGAAGAGGCACGUGGAACUCCCGGUGUAGCGGUGGAAUGCGUAGAUAUCAGGAGGAACACCGGUGGCGAAGGCGGAUCUCUGGGCCUUACCUGACGCUGAGGCGCGAAAGCUAGGGGAGCGAACAGG
rnacentral:rRNA from 1 species